rnacentral:rRNA from 1 species
GAUGAACGCUAGCGGGAGGCUUAACACAUGCAAGUCGAGGGGUAAGGUCUCUUCGGAGAAUACGCGACCGGCGCACGGGUGAGUAACGCGUAUGCGACCUACCUAUAACACAAGGAUAGCUCCCGGAAACGGGAAUUAAUACUUGAUGACAUUCAAAGAUGGCAUCAUCAAUGAAUCAAAGUUCUGGCGGUUAUAGAUGGGCAUGCGUGACAUUAGCUAGUUGGUGAGGUAGAGGCUCACCAAGGCGACGAUGUCUAGGGGGUCUGAGAGGAUGAUCCCCCACACUGGUACUGAGACACGGACCAGACUCCUACGGGAGGCAGCAGUGAGGAAUAUUGCGCAAUGGAGGAAACUCUGACGCAGCCAUCCCGCGUGCAGGAUUGACGGCCCUAUGGGUUGUAAACUGCUUUUCUAUACCAAGAAACACCGAUACGUGUAUCGGUUUGCCGGUAGUAUAGGAAUAAGCAUCGGCUAACUCCGUGCCAGCAGCCGCGGUAAUACGGAGGAUGCAAGCGUUAUCCGGAAUCACUGGGUUUAAAGGGUGCGCAGGCGGAAUAGUAAGUCAGAGGUGAAAGCCCACAGCUCAACUGUGGAAUUGCCUUUGAUACUGUUAUUCUUGAGUGUAGUUGAAGUAGGCGGAAUAUAGCAUGUAGCGGCGAAAUGCAUAGAUAUGCUAUAGAACACCAAUUGCGAAGGCAGCUUGCUAAACUAUAACUGACGCUGAGGCACGAAAGCGUGGGGAGCGAACAGGAUUAGAUACCCUGGUAGUCCACGCCGUAAACUAUGAACACUCGCUGUUGGCAAUACACAGUCAGCGGCUGAGCGAAAGCGUUAAGUGUUCCACCUGGGAAGUACGAUCAGCAGGUUGAAAC